rnacentral:rRNA from 1 species
CAGCCGCCGCGGUAUUCCAGCUCCAAUAGCGUAUAUUAAAGUUGUUGCAGUUAAAAAGCUCGUAGUUGAACCUUGGGUCUGGCUGGUCGGUCCGCCUCACCGCGAGUACUGAUCCGGCUGGACCUUUCCUUCUGGGGAACCUCAUGGCCUUCACUGGCUGUGGGGGGAACCAGGACUUUUACUGAUGAAAAAAUUAGAGUGUUCAAAGCAGGCCUUUGCUCGAAUACAUUAGCAUGGAAUAAUAGAAUAGGACGUGUGGUUCUAUUUUGUUGGUUUCUAGGACCGCCGUAAUGAUUAAUAGGGAUAGUCGGGGGCGUCAGUAUUCAGCUGUCAGAGGUGAAAUUCUUGGAUUUGCUGAAGACUAACUACUGCGAAAGCAUUCGCCAAGGAUGUUUUCAUUAAUCAGGGAACGAAAGUUAGGGGAUCGAAGACGAUCAGAUACCGUCGUAGUCUUAACCAUAAACUAUGCCGACUGGGGAUCGGACAGGAUUCUAUAAUGACCUGUUCGGCACCUUACGAGAAAUCAAAGUUUAUGGGUUCUGGGGGGAGUAUGGUCGCAAGGCUGAAACUUAAAG